ACCCUAAAAGUGAUGGGGGUAGAAGGGACUGGGAUAACAGUGCCACUUUUGGGGGACACCAAGCUGAGACUAGGGGAUAAAAUGAUCACUGGGCAACUAUUGUAUGUACCCAAGGCAGGGACUAACUUGUUGGGAAAGGAUUUGAUAAUGAAAUUGGGCAUUCAAAUAGUAAGUUGUUAGACUGGAAUAACAGUGUUAUUAAUGGAGUGCUCUCAGGCCCUGAGAGCAAAGAUAUAUUCACCUCUGACUGGAAAGACCCUGAAGUGGGGUCGGAAGCAACAAUACAGAUGGACAGUUUUACCUCAGGGGUUUACAGGGCCACCAAUUUAUUUAGGUAAGUUCUAGAACAGAUUUUGAAGCAAUUCCAACCUCCCGAGGAGGUAUUACUGUUACAAAUAUGUGGAUGAUCGUUUAUUGGAAAAUGGAUACUCCCUGAUGGGAGAGAAAUGAUGAAUAAAGCACCAAUGAGGCAAAUAUUAACUGUUUUACUUCAAGAGAGUCAUUGGGAGGUGCAAGCAAUGUGUGAUGUUGUGCUAAGAAAGUAUGUCUGUGAAGGAAUAUACACUUUAGUGAAGCAAAUAUGCAGAGGAUGCACCAUAUGUCAAAAGGUAAA